AAUUAGAAUAAUAAUGUAUAGUAAUAAUAAUAAAGAAUAAUCUCAAAAAUGGACAUACAAGAAUUAUGUCAUUCGAUAAAACAAUAAAUAACAAUAAAAGAACAAAGAAAAAACAAUAGUCGAUAAUCGAUGUUUAGAUCGAAACAAGAAAGAAUGAUAAAGAAAGAGGAGGAAAGGAUGCUUACGAAUAACACGCAUGCACGUAGGAAGAUCGAUUCUCGAGCAAUCGCGCGAGUGCGUGGGGACCAGCGUGCGCCCCCGUUGACUCGUUGACUCACUGACUCUUGACGGACUUACCGUUAACCAGCAAAAGUGAACCAAGUAAGUCGUGUCUCUGGAACUUGCGGUACUGAUUGUACAGUAUGUUACGUGUGGGACGAUUUAAAGCUCGCUAUUGUCAUCGAUCGAAUAUAUACUAAAAAGAUUUGUCAAAGAAAGUUCGAGUGAACGAUUUUCCCUAACCUCCCUAACCUCUCUUCUUUGACUUUUACCUAUAAAGAUUACAAAGGAAGAAUUGUGGAAAUAAUGUAGGAACUGUAAAAGCGCAGAGACAAUAGAAGUGUCCUUCGCGGUAAACCAUGUCGAUUGUAAUUGCAUGACAGAUCGACGCCAUUGAGAAGAAUCGGCGGACCUUGACAAUGCUGGACUCCUUGACGGUACAAUGUCAGUGAACCGGUCUAUAGAACAACGAACGAGUGACGUUGAAUUGCAUUGACCAUAUUUUAUUAUGAAAACCCAAUUAUAAGCUUCUUAAGUACGAAUAGUACCUACAAUUGCGAAGAAAUUCCGUUAAUAGCCAGGACAAUUUAAAACCGCUAUGCUCUCCGUCAAUGUUGCAUUGAAAAUACAAGCUUUAAACGCGCCAUAUUAAUGAACAGACAUCAGUAUUUGUAAAAUAAAUCAAGAUUAAUUGUUUAUCUCAUUAAAAACAUUCUAAAAAAAUCAAUCAACAUGGUUAUUAAUUAUUAAUAUGAUAAUUUAUGUGUAAUCUAUUCUGGCAUAUUCUCUUUAUAUUGAGAUCAAUUGAACUAUUUAAGUACAAUAUUCAUUAGAGAUGAUUUUCAAGAACUCUUAAUGAUGCCAUUAUUAAUAUUUAUUACUUAUCUUAAUAAUAUGUUAUCAUGAAAAAUAUGUUAUACUAUUUACCAGUAUAUAAAUUCAAUAAAAGAAGAUAAAACAAGGCUAAGUAAAUGUCAAGUUGUCGUAACUAGAAAGAUAAAAGAUCUUUCUUCGUAAAUCUGACAAAAUUGGAAAAGAGUAAAACGAACGUUAUAGCAAUGUUCAACAUAAGCCUAUUAUUCCAUACAUUUUCACUCGGUUUACGUCCAUUUUCUCCAUGGUCCAUCGUGUGGAGCUUCCCCAAAAAAUUUUCGUUUAUGGUUCUGGUGUAUAUUAGGGGGUAGAAAUACCGAUGCCAAGAAACUAGACAGGUAUGCAUACCUGAAAAAACUGUGUGAAAAUUGGAAUGAGAGAAGAUUUAAUUCCAUAAUUUACUACUCUUUCUAUUAUCCUUUAAGAUAUUGUUUACAAUUAUUGAUCCUCUGAAUUUUAUGCAGACCAAGGAAAAAUUCUCACAAAAAAUUUUCCAAUCGAAAUUCAAUCGAUUCCAUUUGAAGAGGGGAAGAGACAAGGAAGAAACGAUUUCCUUCCUCCAUCCUUUGUCCUAAAGUAAUGGAAAAGAAAGCGCAGGUGGGAUAGCAGGCCAGAUCUCUUUUCGCUCUGCUCGAGAUCUCGUAUUAGAGAGCAUCCAUCCAUCCAUCCAUCCAUCGGGUCCAUAGGAUUUUAUAGAAGCGUGGGAGAGAGGGACAGGUGGUUCGAGUUAUCCUUGUGUAUCCUGCGUUCUUCAGUAGCACCUUACCGUAUAUUCGAUAUUUCUGUUCCAUAUCCUACCUGAGCACACCUUGUGGGAAAGCUUCCUGAUGCUGAUUGAAACCAUGGAAAUUGUGAACGCGAUUGAUCUCGUAUCCGGCUAGAAUAGGCGCCAUAAAAUUUACAUAAAUUCGACAAAUGUUUUAUGAACGGUUGAAGAAAAAGCAUAUCGAAUUGGCAAUUAUCUCUUCAAAAAUGAUUUUACGAACGCUAAAAAGAAGUACCAACACUUACGUACCCCGUCGUUUCAUGAGCCAACUUAAUUUACGCUUCUCGCAUGAAAGUUUAAUUGCCUCUACUCUUUUCGCGAAACAGGGAAUUAUUCGAUCAAGCGGAGAAGCGUGAAGAGGAACCUGUGCCUUGCCAAUGUUUAAACUCGAGAUGAUUGUAGCUGUUUCUAAAAAUAAAUACGGCAUACACGUAUAUACGUUGGCGACCACUGAAUCCUGAAUGACGAAACUGAGUUCCGUUAUAAAUUCUUGGAAGAUACUGGCAUGUGACGUAAUUUUACUGAAUUAUCGUGCAACUUUUCGACGUGACUGCAGGAUAAGCAUUCUCCGCAUCAUUUUGUUGAAAAACCUGUCGUUAAAUCUUCUCUAACGAAAAAUAAAAUUGUUCAUAAAAUGAAGUUAUAUCAAGUGAGUAUUAGGUUAGGAUAAUUUAAAAGGAAGAGAAUGAAUCAUUUCUUUUUUGAGAUCAAAUUAUGUUAAUGAAGAAAAUUUAAAUGAUUUUGGUUAUAAUAUAUUG